GUCUGUGGCCAUACCAUCCUGAACACACCAGAUGUGGUCUGAUCUCAGAAGCUAAGCAGGGUAAGGCCUGGUUAGUACUUGAAUGAGAAACAAGUUAAAAUUCAUUACAAAUGUUGCUCAUC
rnacentral:rRNA from 1 species